GAUGAACGCUGGCGGCGUGCCUAAUACAUGCAAGUCGAGCGAACAGACGAGGAGCUUGCUCCUUUGACGUUAGCGGCGGACGGGUGAGUAACACGUGUGUAACCUACCUAUAAGACUGGGAUAAUUUCGGGAAACCGGAGCUAAUACCGUAUAAGAUUUCGAACCGCAGUGUUCGAUGGAGAAAUAUGGCGUUUCUAUCACUUAUAGAUGGACCUGCGCCGUAUUAGCUGGUUGGGAAGGUAACGGCUUUUCAAGGCAACGAUUCGUAGGCGACCUGAGAGAGUGAUCGCCGACACUGGAACUGGAACGCGGUCCAGACUCCUACGGGAGGCAGCAGUAGGGAAUCUUACGCAGUGGGCGGAAGCCUGACGGAGCAACGGCACGUGUGUGAUGAAAGUCUUCGGAUCGUGAAGCUCUGUUACUAGGGAAGAACAAACGUGUAAGUAACUGUGCCCGUCUUGACGGUACCUGAUCAGAAAGCAACGGCUAACUACGUG
rnacentral:rRNA from 1 species